rnacentral:lncRNA from 1 species
ACCGCGACAGUACCAGGUAAGAUCCCCUCCCCUUUUUUUUUAAAAAAAACAAUAAAGAAAAAGAAAAAAUCGAAAAAAGAAAUCGAAAGAAAGAAAAAAAAUAAAGGACCAUUCAAGAUCCUGUUUUUCUGUUCUCUUUUAUUAUUUUUUUACAACAAAACAGGAAAUAAAUGAAAUAGCAGCAACACAGAACCACGAUUUCACCUUUGUAUUCUUAUAAUUUCUUCUGUAUAUUUUUGGAUUCCAAAAAACUAGCAGAUAUCCCCCCC